CGUGAUGAGCGACCAGCCUUCAUAAGCCAGCGGGUGCCAGAACGUAGCUUCUCCUACCCAGUACACUUCCUCGUCGUCGAGCUGUGUAUCUCGUCUACCUGGACCCCCUUUGGAUUCCCCCUUGCCUUCCUGGACUAAGACCUCGCUCCUGUCCUUGACCAUCCGCCUGCCCUCUGAUGUCCGAGCCUGCUUUUCUGCCUCGAUCUCAACACGCACACUCAACACCCUCUGGUGACCACGCUCAGAUAAUACUUGCACAUAGUCACACUACAUCUCUUUUAAGCUAAUCACACACUGCACUCACAUACUGAGCUGUCAAUAAACACGCUGACAGCUAACGACA